UUCCCACAGAUCUGGCCUCAACUUCAGCAGCUGUGGUGUUCCUCAGCAGUGGGAGGAGAUCCAUCUUGAAUUUGACAGCAGCAGAAGCAUGAAAACUGUGAUUUAAUGUUGAGGAGACUUGUCUGCAUCUUCUGACCACCCAUUCCUUUUAGGCAAUGCAUCAUGCAUGGAUCCAAAUCAAAGGAAAACUGUUGAAAGGGAGGCUUCAUUUUUGAGAUCCAAUUGCCACAGUAUCAUUUCCUCUUGUGCAAUCACCAUUCAUCAAGGGAGAUCAGAAAAAAUAAAAN
rnacentral:lncRNA from 1 species